AAACUAAGAAAAUAAUUUAAAUAGUCAGGCACACACUGCUUCUCCGCCCACUUCCGGCCUCGGCCGGCGCUGACGUAUAGUUCUGCGUGGUGGGGAGGGAGGAUUUUUAACUCAUCACUCUUUUUCAAAACAGCGCGGUAAACAAGAUGACGUCGCAGCUCAUCUCUUCUCCUGCUUUUCCUCCGUUGUUACAAAGGACACGAUUCAAUGAAUCAUUCAAUCGAUGUACUUGUAUUUCUGAGACAGUAAACAACGCUAUAUUAGGGAGGUCAGAGAUGAUUAUCCUUGAGGGUCGUGUGAUUUGUGAGGCCGUAUACCCAAGAUUUCGGACUGCAAGAUUUCUACUAUUCGCAAUGUACUAUGUCUUAAAUCUUCAGUAUCCAGAGGCAUGUGGCACAUUGGAUUUUAUUUAGAGACGAUUUGUCGGAUAAACCCUGAAAAAGGCUCGAAGACCAGCAAAGUCAAGGUCGUUAAGAAGACUGGAAAGAAUGUGAAUAAGAAGACUGCUACUGUCAACCCAGAAGUUGCAUCCCUCCUAAAGAACCUCAUCCGUUUCGAAUGGGAUUUUGUCUAGACCUGGAUUUCCUCUCAGGCCAGAGCAAUCAGAAGCUGGAGUAAGACACUUAAAUUUUUUUCCAACAAUUAGUUUGAUUAAUGUGUUCUUCAUUUCAUGCCAGGUUUUUAAAAUAUGUUGUGCCGUGCUGGCAGUUUUUUCUUCUUGUUGUAAGUUUGUUUUUAGCUCCUUGAGUCGCACUUUUUUCUGUGAUUUCUGUUUUUAACUCUUUCCCGCCAUUGACAAGUUUUUAUAGCCAUCCGUAUUUCCGCUAUUAUAGCGCUCUUACCCAACUUAUACAACCUGGAAGCAACUCCUCAGGUCAAACAAUUCAAACGUUUUGAUUAUUGCUCCGGAUUUCUAUCAGAAGUCUUUCACAAAAUCGCCAUUAUCUCGGCUUUUUGCUCAAAAUAUGGUCUUUUUGAAGAAACCUACACAUAUUUGAGAGGUGGUAAAAAAGAACUAAUUAAGGUAGGAUGAAUUUUUUUUAUUGUUGUUUGAAAGCAGAGGGGUUUGUUAUUUUAUUUGAUUCGAUUUGAUAUAUUGAAGGUUUAUAUAGUUAAAGAAGAAUGUUUUCUUAAAGGCAUUAAACUUUUGUAAAAAUCAUUAAAAACGCUGGCACUGGCUGUCAACUUUUUUUUAAACACUGGCGGGGAAAGAGUUAACAUACUGUUAAAUUCACUGUAACUGUUACUCCAUAGCUCCUUCAAUUGCACUUUAUUUUUGUGAUGUGGUCUUACUUUACUCUGUGGUUGCUUUUUAAUGGCACCUUUUCUCUGUGACAGUGCAUUUAUUGUUAAACAUACUUGUAAAUGUUUACAGUGCUAAAAGAUUGUUUAAAGAUUGUAAUAACAGUUGUAUUAAUAAAUGGAAAAUGGAGCACUA